rnacentral:rRNA from 1 species
GUAGGUGGCAAGCGUUGUCCGGGAAUUAUUGGGCGUAAAGCGCGCGCAGGCGGUUCGUUUAAGUCUGAUGUGAAAGCCACGGCGUCAACCGUGGAGGGUCAUUGGAAACUGGAGAACUUGAGUACAGAAGAGGAAAGCGGAAUUCCACGUGUAGCGGUGAAAUGCGUAGAGAUGUGGAGGAACACCAGUGGCGAAGGCGGCUUUCUGGUCUGUAACUGACGCUGAGGCGCGAAAGCGUGGGGAGCAAACAGGAUUAGAUACCCUGGUAGUCCACGCCGUAAACGAUGAGUGCUAAGUGUUAGGGGGUUUCCGCCCCUUAGUGCUGCAGCUAACGCAUUAAGCACUCCGCCUGGGGAGUACGGCCGCAAAGGCUG